rnacentral:rRNA from 1 species
AGUGAACGCUGGCGGUAGGCCUAACGCAUGCAAGUCGAACGGCAGCACAGUAAGAGCUUGCUCUUACGGGUGGCGAGUGGCGGACGGGCGAGGAAUACAUCGGAAUCUACUUUUUCGUGGGGGAUAACGUAGGGAAACUUACGCUAAUACCGCAUACGACCUACGGGUGAAAGCAGGGGAUCUUCGGACCUUGCGCGAUUGAAUGAGCCGAUGUCGGAUUAGCUAGUUGGCGGGGUAAAGGCCCACCAAGGCGACGAUCCGUAGCUGGUCUGAGAGGAUGAUCAGCCACACUGGAACUGAGACACGGUCCAGACUCCUACGGGAGGCAGCAGUGGGGAAUAUUGGACAAUGGGCGCAAGCCUGAUCCAGCCAUACCGCGUGGGUGAAGAAGGCCUUCGGGUUGUAAAGCCCUUCUGUUGGGAAAGAAAAGCAGCAGGUUAAUACCCCGCUGUUCUGACGGUACCCAAAGAAUAAGCACCGGCUAACUUCGUG